AGAAUCAACGCUGGCGGCGUGCCUAACACAUGCAAGUCGAACGAGAAAGUGGAGCAAUCCAUGAGUAAAGUGGCGCACGGGUGAGUAACACGUGACUAACCUACCCUUGAGUGGGGGAUAACCUAGAGAAAUCUGGGCUAAUACCGCAUAAUACCUUCGGGUCAAAGGAGCAAUUCGCUUAAGGAGGGGGUCGCGGCCGAUUAGUUAGUUGGCGGGGUAAUGGCCCACCAAGACUAUGAUCGGUAUCCGGCCUGAGAGGGCGCACGGACACACUGGAACUGAAACACGGUCCAGACUCCUACGGGAGGCAGCAGUGGGGAAUUUUGCGCAAUGGGGGAAACCCUGACGCAGCAACGCCGCGUGGAGGAUGAAGUCCCUUGGGACGUAAACUCCUUUCGAUCGGGACGAUAAUGACGGUACCGAGAGAAGAAGCCCGGCUAACUUCGCGCCAGCAGCCGC
rnacentral:rRNA from 1 species